AGUGAACGCUGGCGGCAGGCCUAACACAUGCAAGUCGAACGGCAGCACAGUAAGAGCUUGCUCUUACGGGCGGCGAGUGGCGGACGGGUGAGGAAUACAUCGGAAUCUACUUUUUCGUGGGGGCUAACGUAGGGAAACUUACGCUAAUACCGCAUACGACCUACGUGUGAAAGCAGGCGAUCUUCGGACCUUGCGCGAUUGAAUGAGCCGAUGUCGGAUUAGCUAGUUGGCGGGGUAAAGGCCCACCAAGGCGACGAUCCGUAGCUGGUCUGAGAGGAUGAUCAGCCACACUGGAAGUGAGACACGGUCCAGACUCCUACGGGAGGCAGCAGUGGAGAAUAUUGGACAAUGGGCGCGAGCCUAAUCCAGCCAUACCGCGUGAGUGAAGAAGGACUUCGGGUUGUAGAGCCCUUUUGUUGGGAGAGAAAAGCAGCAGGUUAAUACCCCGCUGUUCUGACGGUACCCAAAGAAUAAGCACCGGCUAACUUCGUG
rnacentral:rRNA from 1 species